rnacentral:rRNA from 1 species
GUCUACGGCCAUACUACCCUGAAUGCGCCCAAUCUCAUCUGAUCUCGGAAGCUAAGCCGGGUCAGGCCUGAUUAGAACUUGGAUGGGAGAAUCAUUGUACUAAAUAAGGAGAAAUAAACU